rnacentral:ncRNA from 2 species
GUAGGCUGGGCACGCAGCGGUUCGCCCCGUCCGCCAGGCGGGAUGCGUCGCAAGAGGGAACCCGGUGGGAGUCCGGGACUGCCCCGCAGCGGUGAGCGGGAACGACCGCCGUCAUACGCACUGGGUCCGGCGUACCGGACCUGGGAAGCGACGGCCAGUAGGCGUGCCGUACCCCGGCACGUGCCCGCGAGUCCGAAGACCUGCCGCUGCCCGCGCGCCGUC